CCUACGGGAGGCAGCAGUGAGGAAUAUUGCACAAUGGGGGAAAGCCUGAUGCAGCGACGCCGCGUGAGCGAUGAAGUAUUUCAGUAUGUAAAGCUCUAUCAGCAGGGCAACAAAUGACGGUACCUGACUAAGAAGCCCCGGCUAACUACGUGCCAGCAGCCGCGGUAAUACGUAGGGGGCAAGCGUUAUCCGGAUUUACUGGGUGUAAAGGGAGCGUAGACGGCGGUGCAAGCCAGAUGUGAAAGCCCGGGGAGCAACCCCGGGACUGCAUUUGGAACUGGGCUGCUAGAGUGUCGGAGAGGCAGGCGGAAGUCGUAGUGUAGCGGUGAAAUGCGUAGAUAUUAGGAGGAACACCCGUGGCGAAGGCGGCAUGCUGGAUGAAGACUGACGUUGAGGCUCGAAAGCGUGGGGAGCGAACAGGAUUAGAUACCCCUGUAGUC
rnacentral:rRNA from 1 species